UACGGAGGGUGCAAGCGUUACUCGGAAUUACUGGGCGUAAAGCGUGCGUAGGUGGUUUGUUAAGUCUGUUGUGAAAGCCCCGGGCUCAACCUGGGAAUGGCAAUGGAUACUGGCAGGCUAGAGUGCGGUAGAGGGUAGUGGAAUUCCCGGUGUAGCGGUGAAAUGCGUAGAGAUCGGGAGGAACACCGGUGGCGAAGGCGGUUCUCUGGGCCUGUGCUGACGCUGAGGAGCGAAAGCGUGGGGAGCGAACAGG
rnacentral:rRNA from 1 species